rnacentral:rRNA from 1 species
AUUGAACGCUGGCGGCAUGCCUUACACAUGCAAGUCGAACGGUAACAGGUCUUCGGAUGCUGACGAGUGGCGAACGGGAGAGUAAUACAUCGGAACGUGCCCGAUCGUGGGGGAUAACGAGGCGAAAGCUUUGCUAAUACCGCAUACGAUCUACGGAUGAAAGCGGGGGAUCUUCGGACUUCGAGCGGCCGGAGCGGCCGAUGGCAGAUUAGGUAGUUGGUGGGAUAAAAGCUUACCAAGCCGACGAUCUGUAGCUGGUCUGAGAGGAUGAUCAGCCACACUGGGACUGAGACACGGCCCAGACUCCUACGGGAGGCAGCAGUGGGGAAUUUUGGACAAUGGGCGAAAGCCUGAUCCAGCCAUGCCGCGUGCAGGAUGAAGGCCUUUGGGUUGUAAACUGCUUUUGUACGGAACGAAAAGCCUCUUUCUAAUAAAGAGGGGUCAUGACGGUACCGUAAGAAUAAGCACCGGCUAACUACGUG